rnacentral:rRNA from 1 species
CCCUUAGAUGUUCUGGGCUGCACGCGCGCUACACUGAAGCUAUCAACACGUUUUCCCUCCCUGAGAAGGGCGGGUAACCUUUUGAAUCAGCUUCGUGGUAGGGAUCGGGGCUUGCAAUUGUUCCCCGUGAACCAGGAAUUCCUAGUAGACGCGAGUCAUAAGCUCGCAUCGAUUAAGUCCCUGCCCUUUGUACACACCGCCCGUCGCUACUACCGAUUGAACGUUUUAGUGAGGCAUUUGGACCGACGCAUCUCAGUUUAACCGCUGGUUUGUGUUGGAAAGACAUCCAAACUUGAGCGUUUAGAGGAAGUAAAAGUCGUAACA